UUGGAGGGCAAGUCUGGUGCCAGCAGCCGCGGUAGUUCCAGCUCCAAUAGCGUAUAUUAAAGUUGUUGCAGUUAAAAAGCUCGUAGUUGAAUUUCGGGAUUGGCGCAUCGGUCGUGCCUCACGGGGUAUGAACUGGUGCAGUCAAUUUCUCACCUUCUGGAGAACCGCGAUGUCCUUAAUUGGAUGCCGCGGGGAACCAGGACCUUUACUUUGAAAAAAUUAGAGUGUUUAAAGCAGGCAUUUUUGCUUGAAUACAUUAGCAUGGAAUAAUAAAAUAGGACGGCAUGGUUCUAUUUUGUUGGUUUCUAGGACCACCGUAAUGAUUAAUAGGGAUAGUUGGGGGCAUUAGUAUUCAAUUGUCAGAGGUGAAAUUCUUGGAUUUAUUGAAGACUAACUACUGCGAAAGCAUUUGCCAAGGAUGUUUUCAUUAAUCAAGAACGAAAGUUAGGGGAUCGAAGACGAUCAGAUACCGUCGUAGUCUUAACCAUAAACUAUGCCGACUAGGGAUCGGAUGAUGUUAAUUUUUUAAUGACUCAUUCGGCGCCUUACGGGAAACCAAAGUGUUUGGGUUC
rnacentral:rRNA from 1 species